CUACGGGCCGCAGCAGGCGAGAAAACUUUGCAAUGUGCGAAAGCACGACAAGGUUAAUCCGAGUGGUUUCUGCUAAAGGAACCUUUUGACAGUCCUAGAAACACUGUUGAAUAAGGGGUGGGCAAGUUCUGGUGUCAGCCGCCGCGGUAAAACCAGCACCUCAAGUGGUCAGGAUGAUUAUUGGGCCUAAAGCAUCCGUAGCCGGCUCUGUAAGUUUUCGGUUAAAUCUGUACGCUCAACGUACAGGCUGCCGGGAAUACUGCAGAGCUAGGGAGUGGGAGAGGUAGACGGUACUCGGUAGGAAGGGGUAAAAUCCUUUGAUCUAUUGAUGACCACCUGUGGCGAAGGCGGUCUACCAGAACACGUCCGACGGUGAGGGAUGAAAGCUGGGGGAGCAAACCGGAUUAGAUACCCUCGUAGUC
rnacentral:rRNA from 1 species